UGCCAAGAAAAAUUUAACUUUGCUGAUGAAAAAUAACUGGUGUUGCGUCAUGAUUGAGAACACAAUAUGUGAUCAUUGCAAGGCCUUUUGAUUUGAACGUAAUUUCCAGUUUAAUUUUGACAUACCUCAUAUGCCUCAUUCAUAACAUAUAUGUGUUAUGAACCAAGAGUUGUCUAAAGUGAUUAUUCAUCAGUAUUGGUUUGCAGUGCACAUAUGCACAGAGAGGAAAACCAAACCUGACAAGGAAAGGAAACUUUUAAAGAUGCCUUUAUUCUGAUUACAAAAUGACCUGAGGCAGAACAUCAUGCUGGGAAAGGCCUGAGGCAGAAUGGCAUGCUAGGAAAUGUAGUGUAGCUUGCUUGUCUGAAAUGAUGACAAGUCUUCCCUGCACACACACACUCUUUCUCAGUAUCUUUGCUUAGUAACACUUUAUUUGAAGGGGUGUGCAUAACACUAACAUGACACAGUCAUAACCAUGACAUGACACCUGUCAUGAACAUGAAGGAGUCUUUGAGAAUGUUUCAUUUGGCCAGUUAUGUCAUUUUGAAUGCAAAGCUGACAUUGUUUGGGAAGUCUUUGUUAUGGCAACUUGACAUGACAACCAAGACAACAAAACAUACAUACACGUGUCAUAAACAUGCUAUAGCCGGCCUUGUUAUCAAACUUAAAGAAACAUUACAUUAAACUGUCAUAUGUGGUUGGUUAUUGUAUACGGUGCUGUCUAUUCUCCAGAGAAUCCAGCAAUUCUUGCUGUUUGUCUCCUGCAGGACACCGUAGUUCUGAAAUGCAUUCCACGUAGGACGCCAAGUUUGCUUUCACCAGCCAUAAGUGUUUUUAUUCGAUUGAUCAGUGCACCAAAGAAGAAGAGACUGCCAGACUGGGGUCACAAAAGGCAAAGCGCUCUGGCGUGGAGGACGCUGCAGAUCAAUGACCCCUCAGAAAUGACUGUGAUUUUGGGAACAUCAUCUGCAGCGGCGGAGCGGCGGACACAACACGCCUGUCCUCCUCCGUGAGGGUUGCUUGGGCUUCCAUCGAUCGCUGUCUCUGCCGCCUCGCAUGAAAUGACAUGUUUCUCUUUUCUUAUGCACUGGGGCUGGGGUGCAGCUGGGGGAAACAUGUUCCAAUCACAGAAGUGCCUCACUGCUCUGACAGCAGGAUAACUAAGCUAAUAAUGGGCUCAGGAUCGCGCUGGCUGGAGGUGACAGGAUCGGGGUGUUACAGUAAACAUGCUGCAGUCCCGCGCUGAGGUGUCAUCCCCUGUGCACCGCUCCUGAGAGCACAAGCAGAGAGGGGAGCAAGGACACAAGGAGAAAUGCCUUGCCUUCGCUUUCCGUAUAUUCACCUUAGAAGGUACAAACACAACUACCAUAAAUCCUCAAAUAAAGGCCGGGAUUCAAUUAGAGGCCGGGCUUCA
rnacentral:lncRNA from 1 species